CCCACCUUAAAAGUGCAACAAUGCCCAAGCUUAGUCUAAUGAAUAAUUCUUUACUGUUUGAUGGUGGUACAGAUUUUAAAAAAUUGUUGCAACAAAAGCAAGCAUUUGCAAUGAGCAAUGCGGGAAGGAAUUUGUCACACAUGGAGGUGAAGCUGGGAUUUUCUGAUCCUGGGGAACAUUAGCAAUUUUUUUUCUUUUUAAAUGAUAUUAAAUAUAUAUUUUACAUAGUGCUUACAUCCCAUUUUCCCAUUUCAAACAGCAAGAAACCAUAUUAUUAAUUUUUAGAAACUCUUGGUUUGGAGGGACUCUGGGCUGCAGAAAUUAUCCCCCCCCCCCUUCUUCACUGAGCAGCAGCAUAAUUUUGGAAUACAUUAUUAGAUCAAACUCUUUCUACAUUCUUUUUCGAUACGAAAAAUGGGAAAGCAAAGUUGUUACGUGGGAAAGGUACAGAAAUUUGCCUGCUUACACAACAAACCCAACUUGCUGAGCUUGUUUUCUCCACCUUCAAUGAGUCGAGUCUACCCAAGUACAAGCCAAGUUGGACUUCUUGUAUGACACAACCUCAUCCCCAACAGUUAAAGGGAACACACAUGAUCUAAUACCAUCUUUAACGGCAACUCUCAAAAUACCAGUUUCAAUUUGGGAGGCUGGAAUAGGGAGAUCACAAACCGAACUGGGGGGAAAAAAAAAAGCAGAGAGAAUGUGGAACGGCAAGAUAGCAGACUUCCUGCUACUGCCCAGGUUGGUUAACAAUUAUCAGCUUUAACUAGGAUCCUGGCUUUCCCUCAAAAUUUGAGGACAGACACUAUUGUGAUCAAAUGUUUGCUCCUGGGAGAAAAAGAACUAGCAGCAAAUGCUUAGCACAGCACUUUGAGGUUUGCCAACGGAGAUGGCACGUGCCGCUUUUUCUCCUCUGUUCUUCUUGGUUGCUCUCGCAAAGCUAAGCAAGGCCAGAUCUGAUGGCCACGUAUACACAAAUAAUUUUGACUGUUCUUCUUGAUGAACUAUCAUGGGGAUAUCCAUCUGAUGGUGUCUUGCCUAGACUAAAUGCCAAGCAUUGCUGGAAAUGCAUUGAGGGCAUCAUAGAAUCCAGAUCUAAGCCUACUGGUGAUCUUUAUACCCGGCUUAUAAAAGAGAUAAAAUCUGUCUACCCUAAUGGACCAGCUACUCGCUGCAGCUAAUGCCAACUAAAAACUCAAGUCUGGACAUCAACCAGUAACAAGACACUUGACAUAUAGCACACACGAGCACUCUACUAAGGUCCUACUGAAGCUUGCAAAUCCUUGCACAGCUGCAGUGAGAAACUGAAUAGUAACCUGCUUCUAGAUCUUACCAAUACAAUUUGACAACUAUUUUCCCCUUGACAGUGCAUCGUAUUUUGUGAAACAAUCAUAUGGUUCAUUUAGCUAGUAACAGUUGAUUACAGUGGGGUAUAAACACAAAAAACGAAUAAUUUUUUAAAAAUAUGGCUGAGGUCCAGGGAGCUACUUAAGGUCCCCCCAAAAGUUUUAAUAUGCCUGGUAAGAUUUUGCUUUUUCAUCCUGUGAACAAAAUGUUCUUCCAUAUGACAAACUCACAGUACUGUACCCAAGCAGUCAAGUCCUCUUUGAGGAUAAGUCUAGCAUUUACAUGAACUAGAGACACUUAAAUUUCAGAGAUAUUUAGCCAUCCAACUGGACAAUUAGGAACAUAUACUGUCCUAGAUGGACCUGGCAUUCAGCUAUCAGACUGAAUGGGAGUAGUUUUCUAUUCAUGCUUCCUAAUUAAAUGAUAGGACAAUUGUAUCUUGACCACCCUCAAUAAAAGCCAUUUGCAGCAACCAGAAGAGCAAAGAAUGUCAAAGAUUUUAGCUGCACUUCAAGUAUUUACUUGACAAACAUAUGAAGAAUUAGUAGAGCACAAACAUCUUCAUCUCCCCUUCCCUGUUUCAGAUGCAGAUCAUCACUGGUUAUGUAGCCCAAAUGGCACCUGCACAGUUUACCUUCUGAGUAAAACAAAAAAUAAGAAAAAAAGUUUCUGCGGGUGAAUUGGUAGAACAAAAAUCAGUUUUGGAAAUUGAUUGGGACUCACAACAUACACUGCUUUCAAACCAUGAAAAGAAAAGACUUUUCCAGGCUCCAGAAAGCUAUGACUGAGGAACCAUAUUUUGUGGAGUCCUUGGUGCUGUCUGAGCUUGGUUGUUUG